CGCUAGCGGCAGGCUAACACAUGCAAGUCGAGGGAGAGGUUACCUUCGGGUAACUGAAACCGGCGCACGGGUGCGUAACGCGUAUACAAUCUGCCUUUCACAUAGGGAUAGCCCGAAGAAAUUUGGAUUAAUACCUAAUGGUAUAUAAGAGCGGCAUCGUUUUUAUAUUGAAGCUACGGUGGUGAAAGAUGAGUAUGCGUUCUAUUAGCUAGUUGGAGAGGUAACGGCUCCCCAAGGCGACGAUAGAUAGGGGUUCUGAGAGGGAUGUCCCCCACACUGGUACUGAGAUACGGACCAGACUCCUACGGGAGGCAGCAGUGAGGAAUAUUGGACAAUGGUCGGAAGACUGAUCCAGCCAUGCCGCGUGCAGGAUGAAGGUCCUAUGGAUUGUAAACUGCUUUUGUAAGGGAAGAAUAAGGGGUACGUGUACUUUGAUGACGGUACCUUACGAAUAAGCAUCGGCUAACUCCGUGCCAGCAGCCGCGGUAAUACGGAGGAUGCGAGCGUUAUCCGGAAUCAUUGGGUUUAAAGGGUCCGUAGGCGGGCUGAUAAGUCAGAGGUGAAAGCGCUUAGCUCAACUAAGCAACUGCCUUUGAAACUGUCAGUCUUGAAUGAUUGUGAAGUAGUUGGAAUGUGUAGUGUAGCGGUGAAAUGCUUAGAUAUUACACAGAACACCGAUAGCGAAGGCAUAUUACUAACAAUUUAUUGACGCUGAUGGACGAAAGCGUGGGGAGCGAACAGGAUUAGAUACCCUGGUAGUCCACGCUGUAAACGAUGGAUACUAGCUGUUUGGAGCAAUCUGAGUGGCUAAGCGAAAGUGAUAAGUAUCC
rnacentral:rRNA from 1 species